GACGAACGCUGGCGGCGUGCCUAACACAUGCAAGUCGAACGGAGAUAUGAUUUCGGUUGUAUCUUAGUGGCGAACGGGUGAGUAACGCGUGAGCAACCUGACUCUUAGAGGGGGAUAACACUCGGAAACGGGUGCUAAUACCGCAUAAGACCACGACAUGGCAUCAUGACGAGGUCAAAAGGAGCAAUCCGCUGAGAGAGGGGCUCGCGUCCCCAUUAGAUAGAUGGCGGGGUAACGGCCCACCAUGUCAGCGAUGGGUAGCCGAGCUGAGAGGCUGAUCGGCCACACUGGAACUGAGACACGGUCCAGACUCCUACGGGAGGCAGCAGUGGGGAAUAUUGGGCAAUGGGCGCAAGCCUGACCCAGCAACGCCGCGUGAGGGAAGAAGGCUUUCGGGUUGUAAACCUCUGUCCUUGGUGACGAAAAAAUAGACGGUAGCCAAGGAGGAAGCCCGGCGUAACUACGUGCCAGCAGCCGCGGUAAU
rnacentral:rRNA from 1 species